GGGAAACCGGCACCUAUAGCCUCCUGGGAGAGCCUCCAGGUCCCUUCUUGAAGGGCCCUCUCCUGACCUGGGAUGUCCUCCAGGUGCCCUAGAAACUCCACCUCUGGGACAUUCAAGGCACCCACAGGUCACUUGGCCUUUUCCUCACCUGGUAGCUCUGGCUGUGGGCCCUGGGGUCCUGGAGCCCCCCCCCCAAUGCACCCUCAGUGCUCCCCAGUGGACAAGCAGGCCACCGUCCCCUCCACAAGGGUGGCCUCCAAGCCUCACCCUGCCAGGGACGCCUCGGGGGCUUCUACCUGUGAAGGGCUCGUUCCAGGUCCCGCUCCCCUGAGGCUGCGUCUGCUGCCCCCGAUCCAUGGAGGCCUACAGGCAGAGGGGGUGUGGCUAGCUGGCCGUGUGGCCACACGUCCUCUCUCCCCACUGCACACGGGUGGACCGGUGCCUCAGUGGGACACGGACAGGUCCUGGGCUCUGAGCCAGUGUUUUAAACAUAGAGAUUUUUACUCCUUUGAAAGGUGCAGGGUCCACGAACCACACAGCAGCCAAGGAGAGUCCACUGGCCGGCAUCACAGCGUGUCCUACGCGCGUUCACGAUGUGAGUCAGCUGGCGCCAGCUGACAGUUGUGCAGAAAUUGCAAAUGCUUUAGAACGCAUCUCAAGCUGGGAGUGUCUCUAAGUGUGGGUGCACUGUCUUGGAGCAGGGUGGAGCCCGACCGCACUUAGCCUUGACGGGAUGAGCGCGCUCUUAGUGGUGGGCUUUGUCUGGUAAUGUGAGCCCAGGCUACUGAUG
rnacentral:lncRNA from 1 species